ACGAACGCUGGCGGCGUGCUUAACACAUGCAAGUCGAACGGUGAAGGGACUGGUUUUGCUGGUCCUGGAUGAGUGGCGAACGGGUGAGUAACACGUGAGUAACCUGCCCCCUUCUUCUGGAUAACCGCAUGAAAGUGUGGCUAAUACGGGAUAUUCUGGGUCUGUCGCAUGGUGGGCCUGGGAAAGAUUGCGCCUUUCUUGGUGUUUUUGGUGGGGGAUGGGCUCGCGGCCUAUCAGCUUGUUGGUGGGGUGAUGGCCUACCAAGGCGGUGACGGGUAGCCGGCCUGAGAGGGUGGACGGUCACACUGGGACUGAGACACGGCCCAGACUCCUACGGGAGGCAGCAGUGGGGAAUAUUGCACAAUGGGCGCAAGCCUGAUGCAGCGACGCCGCGUGAGGGAUGGAGGCCUUCGGGUUGUGAACCUCUUUCGCCAGUGAAGCAGGCCUGCCUCUUUUUGUGGGUGGGUUGACGGUAGCUGGAUAAGAAGCGCCGGCUAACUACGUG
rnacentral:rRNA from 1 species